rnacentral:tRNA from 1 species
GGGGAUAUAGCUCAGUUGGUAGAGUGCUUAUUGCAUGCACAAAGUCCUGGGUUCAAUCCCCAGCACCCUCU